rnacentral:piRNA from 1 species
GAAUUGUAACUGCCACCAUAGU